CUCUGGUUUAGUGCUUGUGUAUUUUUGAGUAGUCUUUUGAGAUGCUCCAAGGAACGUUUCUGUUCAGGUCAGCCCGAGCCCCGAGGUAGUGAAAGGCAGUCGUCUGACUCUGACCUGCAACAAUAACGCCAACCCUGCAGCAGAGACCUACACCUGGUUUCAGAGGACAGGAACGCUAACUUCACUAAGAUUAGGGAUGGGGAAAGAACACACCUUCAAAGAAAUAGAUUCUGAUGACAGUGGACUGUACUUCUGUAUGGCCCAGAAUGCCCUCGGAUCACAGAACUUUACAGAACUGGAGUUGAAAGUUAAAGAAUCAGCCCAUUUAAUGGUGGUCCUGGCAGCAUUUGGGGCUAUCUUCCUGGUCACAGCAGUGAUUGUGGUGCUCUACAUUUACAUAAAAAGUUACAGAAAGCAACCUUUUCUAGACCAGAGGACAUCUAUGAAAACAUGAGACGGUCAGCCAAGCCGAUCACUGAUCCUGAUGCAUGAAUUACGCAGAGCUCAAUAUCAGGCCUGCUCCUUCACACAGGAGGCAGCUGAAUAACAAGGCAGAGGAUGACGAUGCAGUUAUCUACAGCCAACUACAAACACACUGAGGUGGUCAGAGAACUUUGCUAUCUAG